rnacentral:lncRNA from 1 species
CUUGGUUGCAUGAGAGAUCUUGUUUCUUCUUCAUCAUUUUUUUCCUAUAUAGAAUUCAUUAUGCUCAAAUCGUGUUUAAACCUAGGCAGAAAAUUUUCCAACAAAAAUGUGCAAAUCAGACGUACACAAUGGAAUAAAUUACCGCAGAGAGUAGUGAAUAAGAGAUACCCACCGAAUACCAAUUAACAACACAUGGUGCAAAGAAAGACUGAGGAAAAACUC